GAUGAAAUUGAUGAAUGACUAUUUUAACGAUUGGUCAUUCAUAUCAGGAAGCAUAUACUAAAAAUCUAAUGCCAGUUUUAAACAGCAGAAUGUUAUUUAGUUGCAUUGUGUUACCUGUCUACUGGUAAAUUU